UACGAAGGGGGCUAGCGUUGCUCGGAAUUAUUGGGCGUAAAGAGCUCGUAGGUGGUUUGUUACGUCCGCUGUGAAAACCUAGGGCUUAACCCUGGGCCUGCAGUGGAUACGGGCAGACUAGAGGUAGGUAGGGGAGAAUGGAAUUCCCGGUGUAGCGGUGAAAUGCGCAGAUAUCGGGAGGAACACCGGUGGCGAAGGCGGUUCUCUGGGCCUUACCUGACACUGAGGAGCGAAAGCGUGGGGAGCGAACAGG
rnacentral:rRNA from 1 species